rnacentral:rRNA from 1 species
UACCAGCCCCCUGAGUGGUAAGGGCGAUUAUUUGGCCUAAAGCGUCCGUAGCCUGCUCGAUAAGUCUCCCAUAAAACCUAAUGAUUCAAUCGUUAGCUCGUGGGAGAUACUGUUGGGCUAGAGGACGGGAGAGGUCGACGGUAGUCCUGGGGUAGGGGUGAAAUCCAAUAAUCCCAGGAGGACCACCAGUGGCGAAGGCUGUCGACUAGAACGUGCCUGACGGUGAUGGACGAAAGCUGGGGGGAGCGAACCGGAUUAGACACCCGGGGUAGUCCCAGCUGUAAACGAUGCGGGCUAGGUGUUUGGGCGGCCACGUGCCGCUCUAGUGCCGCAAGGAGCUGUUAAGCCUGCCGCCUGGGGAGUACGGCCGCAAGGCUGAAACUUAAGGAAUUGGCGGGGAGCACCACAAGGGGUGAAGCUUGCGGUUU